rnacentral:rRNA from 1 species
AUACGUAGGUGGCAAGCGUUGUCCGGAAUUAUUGGGCGUAAAGCGCGCGCAGGCGGUCCUUUAAGUCUGAUGUGAAAUCUUGCGGCUCAACCGCAAGCGGCCAUUGGAAACUGGGGGACUUGAGUGCAGGAGAGGGAAGUGGAAUUCCACGUGUAGCGGUGAAAUGCGUAGAGAUGUGGAGGAACACCAGUGGCGAAGGCGGCUUCCUGGCCUGUAACUGACGCUGAGGCGCGAAAGCGUGGGGAGCAAACAGGAUUAGAUACCCUGGUAGUCCACGCCGUAAACGAUGAGUGCUAAGUGUUAGGGGGUUUCCGCCCCUUAAUGCUGCAGCUAACGCAUUAAGCACUCCGCCUGGGGAGUACGGCCGCAAGGCUGAA